rnacentral:rRNA from 1 species
AACGAACGCUGGCGGCAUGCCUAACACAUGCAAGUCGAACGAGACCUUCGGGUCUAGUGGCGCACGGGUGCGUAACGCGUGGGAACCUGCCCUUAGGUUCGGAAUAACUCCCCGAAAGGGGUGCUAAUACCGGAUAAUGUCUUCGGACCAAAGAUUUAUCGCCUUUGGAUGGGCCCGCGUUGGAUUAGCUAGUUGGUAGGGUAAAAGCCUACCAAGGCGACGAUCCAUAGCUGGUCUGAGAGGAUGGUCAGCCACACUGGGACUGAGACACGGCCCAGACUCCUACGGGAGGCAGCAGAGGGGAAUAUUGGACAAUGGGCGAAAGCCUGAUCCAGCAAUGCCGCGUGAGUGAUGAAGGCCUUAGGGUUGUAAAGCUCUUUUACCCGGGAUGAUAAUGACGGUACCGGGAGAAUAAGCUCCGGCUAACUCCGUG